UGGGGAAUAUUGCACAAUGGGCGCAAGCCUGAUGCAGCCAUGCCGCGUGUGUGAAGAAGGCCUUCGGGUUGUAAAGCACUUUCAGCGAGGAGGAAGGUGGUGAACUUAAUACGUUCAUCAAUUGACGUUACUCGCAGAAGAAGCACCGGCUAACUCCGUGCCAGCAGCCGCGGUAAUACGGAGGGUGCAAGCGUUAAUCGGAAUUACUGGGUGUAAAGCGCACGCAGGCGGUUUGUUAAGUCAGAUGUGAAAUCCCCGGGCUCAACCUGGGAACUGCAUUUGAAACUGGCAAGCUAGAGUCUCGUAGAGGGGGGUAGAAUUCCAGGUGUAGCGGUGAAAUGCGUAGAGAUCUGGAGGAAUACCGGUGGCGAAGGCGGCCCCCCUGGACGAAGACUGACGCUCAGGUGCGAAAAGCGUGGGGAGCAAACAGGAUUAGAUACCCCUGGUAGUCCACGCUGUAAACGAUGUCGAUUUGGAGGUUGUGCCCUUGAGGCGUGGCUUCCGGAGCUAACGCGUUAAAUCGACCGCCUGGGGAGUACGGCCGCAAGGUU
rnacentral:rRNA from 1 species